rnacentral:rRNA from 1 species
AUUGAACGCUGGCGGCAUGCCUUACACAUGCAAGUCGAACGGCAGCGCGGGAGCAAUCCUGGCGGCGAGUGGCGAACGGGUGAGUAAUAUAUCGGAACGUGCCCAGUAGUGGGGGAUAGCCCGGCGAAAGCCGGAUUAAUACCGCAUGAGACCUGAGGGUGAAAGCGGGGGAUCGCAAGACCUCGCGCUAUUGGAGCGGCCGAUAUCAGAUUAGCUAGUUGGUGGGGUAAAGGCCUACCAAGGCAACGAUCUGUAGUUGGUCUGAGAGGACGACCAGCCACACUGGGACUGAGACACGGCCCAGACUCCUACGGGAGGCAGCAGUGGGGAAUUUUGGACAAUGGGCGCAAGCCUGAUCCAGCAAUG